rnacentral:rRNA from 1 species
AUUGAACGCUGGCGGCAGGCCUAACACAUGCAAGUCGAGCGCGAAAGUCCUUCGGGAUGAGUAGAGCGGCGGACGGGUGAGUAACGCGUAGGAAUCUGUCCGGUAGUGGGGGAUAACGUUCCGAAAGGAACGCUAAUACCGCAUACGCCCCAAGGGGGAAAGCGGGGGAUCUGCGGACCUCGCACUAUCGGAGGAGCCUGCGUCGGAUUAGCUAGUUGGUAGGGUAAAGGCCUACCAAGGCGACGAUCCGUAGCUGGUCUGAGAGGAUCAUCAGCCACACCGGAACUGAGAAACGGUCCGGACUCCGACGGGAGGCAGCAGUGGGGAAUAUUGCGCAAUGGGGGCAACCCUGACGCAGCCAUGCCGCGUGUGUGAAGAAGGCCUUCGGGUUGUAAAGCACUUUCAGAGGGGAGGAAAGGGCGCUGGCUAAUAUCCAGCGCAGUUGACGCUACCCUCAGAAGGAGCACCGGCUAAUUCCGUGCCAGCCGCCGCGGUAAAAC